CAGCAGCAGCCACGGUAAAACGAAGGGUGCAAGCGUUAAUCGGAAUUACUGGGCGUAAAGCGUGCGUAGGCGGUGAGUUAAGUCUGCUGUGAAAUCCCCGGGCUCAACCUGGGAAUGGCAGUGGAUACUGGCUCGCUAGAGUGUGUCAGAGGAUGGUGGAAUUCCCGGUGUAGCGGUGAAAUGCGUAGAGAUCGGGAGGAACAUCAGUGGCGAAGGCGGCCAUCUGGGACAACACUGACGCUGAGGCACGAAAGCGUGGGGAGCAAACAGGAUUAGAUACCCCGGUAGUCCCUGUCUCUUAUAC
rnacentral:rRNA from 1 species